rnacentral:misc_RNA from 1 species
CAACCCUCAAGCACUGCUUGGUGUUGGGGCCCUACAGUUACCUGUAGGCCUUGAAAAUUAGUGGCGGGCUCGCUAUAACUCCGAGCGUAGUAGAAACACCUCGCUUAGGACGUGAUGGCGGGAUCCGGCCGUUAAACCCCCCAAUUUUCUGAA